AAGUCGUAACAAGGUAACCGUAGGUGAACCUGCGGUUGGAUCAUUAAUGAAAUUUUUUAAUUGAUCUUUCCCUUUAGUAACUUUUAGGGUCAGAUCUCUUAACUUUUUGUGAACCUUUAAAAUAUUUUCGGGUGAAGUCCUUUAUGGCUUUCACUUGUUUUUUUUUACACUUAAUGUAAUUUUACUUGCCUUUAAUAAAUUUUUGUAUUAAACAAAAACAACUUUUGACAACGGAUCUCUAGGCUCUCA
rnacentral:misc_RNA from 1 species